GGCGGCGAGUGGCGAACGGGUGAGUAAUAUAUCGGAACGUACCCAAGAGUGGGGGAUAACGUAGCGAAAGUUACGCUAAUACCGCAUACGAUCUAAGGAUGAAAGCAGGGGACCGCAAGGCCUUGUGCUCCUGGAGCGGCCGAUAUCUGAUUAGCUAGUUGGUAGGGUAAAGGCCUACCAAGGCUACGAUCAGUAGCUGGUCUGAGAGGACGACCAGCCACACUGGAACUGAGACACGGUCCAGACUCCUACGGGAGGCAGCAGUGGGGAAUUUUGGACAAUGGGCGCAAGCCUGAUCCAGCAAUGCCGCGUGAGUGAAGAAGGCCUUCGGGUUGUAAAGCUCUUUUGUCAGGGAAGAAACGGUGGGGGCUAAUAUCUCCCACUAAUGACGGUACCUGAAGAAUAAGCACCGGCUAACUACGUGCCAGCAGCCGCGGUAAUACGUAGGGUGCAAGCGUUAAUCGGAAUUACUGGGCGUAAAGCGUGCGCAGGCGGUUUUGUAAGUCUGACGUGAAAUCCCCGGGCUCAACCUGGGAAUUGCGUUGGAGACUGCAAGGCUAGAAUCUG
rnacentral:rRNA from 1 species